AAGUCUCUGAACUUUACUUUUUUAGGCUCUGUUUUCGGUUUUCAGUUUCCAGCUCUGAAAUAAGACCAUCAUUGUUAAUCUCAGAAUUAACUCUCACCUGUUCACGCCAAGAGGUUUCCACUGUCAACUGGAGAAUCUUUCUGCAGAAACUCCAGAGAUCACCCAGCUCUCGAGAUUCAUCAGGAGAUGGCUUUUUCCUUCUGGAUGUCCUGCACUCUGUGUCUGGUUUAAAAAAAGUCCAUUUGCAGAUGGACAAAUUGACUGUCAGUUGGAUUCCCACAAUCCUCUCGCUUGUCCAGGCCUUUCCCAGUCUGAAUGAACUCAGGACAAAUUCCGCAAUUUCAUUUAUUCCAUCUGACAUAAAACAGUGUCUGGUGGAAUCACUGACACAAACAGGUUGGACCCCGACUUUCAAAUUGGA